GACACCUCAAGCAACACACUCAGGGGCUCAACGUGCAGUCAGGAGCUCCCCGAGGUGACUGCAGGGUGGCCAAUGCCCCUUGCCACUCUCCUACCACUUUCCCCCACUCCAGUCCUGCCUCAGCUGCACCAGAGCCCCCAGGAUCCGUGUCCCCUGCACCCUACAUGACUGGACGCCUGGGUCAUAUCACACCACAGUUUGCCACACCUGACUGCACGGCGCCCCUGGCCAGCCAAGCUGGUCAACACCUCCAGGACAGCGGCCAAGGCAGUGGAACCCAGCAGAUGUGGAGGAGAA
rnacentral:lncRNA from 1 species